rnacentral:rRNA from 1 species
AGUGAACGCUGGCGGUAGGCCUAACACAUGCAAGUCGAACGGCAGCACAGUAAGAGCUUGCUCUUACGGGUGGCGAGUGGCGGACGGGUGAGGAAUACAUCGGAAUCUACUUUUUCGCGGGGGAUAACGUAGGGAAACUUACGCUAAUACCGCAUACGACCUACGGGUGAAAGCAGGGGAUCUUCGGACCUUGCGCGAUUGAAUGAGCCGAUGUCGGAUUAGCUAGUUGGCGGGGUAAAGGCCCACCAAGGCGACGAUCCGUAGCUGGUCUGAGAGGAUGAUCAGCCACACUGGAACUGAGACACGGUCCAGACUCCUACGGGAGGCAGCAGUGGGGAAUAUUGGACAAUGGGUGCAAGCCUGAUCCAGCCAUACCGCGUGGGUGAAGAAGGCCUUCGGGUUGUAAAGCCCUUUUGUUGGGAAAGAAAAGCAGCAGGUUAAUACCCCGCUGUUCUGACGGUACCCAAAGAAUAAGCACCGGCUAACUUCGUG